UAGUUGGUUGACUAAGAUCCGUUCAAGGGUGAAAUUUCUUCGGUCUAGGGGUGUCAAUUUCUUCAGUCUAGGGGUGCCUAGUGCCUAAUCGGAGCCUAGGUGAUUGCCUAGGCCGAUUUCUACAAUAGUGUAGUCAAAGGAAAUACUAUAAAUUAAUGGCAUCCACUUCUGCUCUGCUCCUCUUUGCUCAGCUAUGGAUUUAUUGAUGCAGCAUCAUCAUAUCCAACUUUUCAAGAAGGUGCAACUUCCCAAAAAAAAAAAUUGUGAUAAGAAUGGAAACUAUGAUGUUUUUUACCAGAGGUGGAGUGGGGACUGAAGAUUAUUGAUUCAAUCAUUGUGGAAUUGAACAUUUGAAUGCCCAAUUGCCCAGCACCAAGUAAAUGAUGGAAGCUAAUUAACAAUGGAAUAAAGCUGCCUAAAAGUCCGAGCUAAAAGAUUAAACAGAUGGUCUGUAUUUCCCACAGAUAUAAAAGAGAUUUUUAAUUCAAUCCCUAUCAAAACACUCGUGCAUCAAGAAAGAAAAGAAAAGAAAAACAAACGAAAAAGCUUGACUCUCUUUUUAAAAGCCUGUCUCUAUUCUUUGGGUGAAAAUGGAUGUAUUGGUAUGUUGUAUUACUUCUAUACAGUAACAAGUAUUCUCUUU